GUUUUCCAUUCCUGCAUUUGUUAGCAUAGGAUGAUGGCCUCCAGCUCCAUCCAUGUUGCUGCAAAGGCCAUGAUUUAAUUCUCUUUUGUGGCUGCCUAUUAUGGCCAUUU